rnacentral:rRNA from 1 species
GGGGAAUUUGGGACAAUGGGCGCAAGCCUGAUCCAUGCCGCGUGCAUGAUGAAGGCCUUCGGGUUGUAAACUGCUUUUGUACGGAACGAAACGGUCCUUUCUAAUAUAAGGGGCUAAUGACGGUACCGUAAGAAUAAGCACCGGCUAACUACGUG